rnacentral:tRNA from 1 species
AAUUAAUGAGCUUGUUACAAGCAUUUGUUUUGAAAACUUAAGGAAGAAUAAAUAUUCUAUUAAUUU